GAUGCUAAUACCGGAUAAUAACAGAUGAUGCCUAUCAACUGUUUAAAAGAUGGUUCUGCUAUCACUCUUGGAUGGACCUGCGGUGCAUUAGCUAGUUGGUAGGGUAACGGCCUACCAAGGCGAUGAUGCAUAGCCGAGUUGAGAGACUGAUCGGCCACAUUGGGACUGAGACACGGCCCAAACUCCUACGGGAGGCAGCAGC
rnacentral:rRNA from 1 species